rnacentral:rRNA from 1 species
CGACGCUGGCGGCGUGCUUAACACAUGCAAGUCGAACGGAAAGGCCCCUGCUUGCAGGGUACUCGAGUGGCGAACGGGUGAGUAACACGGUGGGUGAUCUGCCCUGCACUUCGGGAUAAGCCGUGGGAAACUGGGUCUAAUACCGGAUAGGACCAUCGUUUAGUGUCGGUGGUGGAAAGUUUUUUCGGUGCAGGAUGAGCUCGCGGCCUAUCAGCUUGUUGGUGGGGUAAUGGCCUACCAAGGCGUCGACGGGUAGCCGGCCUGAGAGGGUGGACGGCCACAUUGGGACUGAGACACGGCCCAGACUCCUACGGGAGGCAGCAGUGGGGAAUAUUGCACAAUGGGCGCAAGCCUGAUGCCAGCGACGCCGCGUGGGGGAUGAAGGCCUUCGGGUUGUAAACUCCUUUCAACCAUGACGAAGCAUUAUGUGACGGUAGUGGUAGAAGAAGCACCGGCUAACUACGUGCCAGCCGCUGC